CCCCCUUGAGUUCAUUCCUCCAUUCUAGUGGCAGACGGCAGUUUAGCUGGACUGCAGUAAAAUAAAUAAACAGCAAGACUUCAGUACACUUCCAGGAGCACAGGAGAAAUAAACUUUUUAAAACACCCCAUAACCUUUUCUACAUAAAUCUUUCAGAAGCAGAGCUAAAUGACCCUCAGCUGCUGCCUAUUAACUCCUCAGCCUAGAUAGAGAAAGAGAGAAAAAGAGAAAGAAAAGCUUCAUUUUACACUACCAAUGAUGUGGUGGAAGCCCUCUCAAGGAAAAGGUUGGACUGUUUACACCAGAAAGAACAUGGUCUCACUUACUACUCGAUCAAAGGCUCUUAAAUCCCCCUCCUCCUCGCCUCUAACCCUCAAAACCCCUGAAUGCUCCUUUUAAAUCCCUCACUUCUGGCUCCGGCUCGCUAUUAGUCCAACCUUCUCUGCUGUCUGCGGGGCCUGGCUGGAUCUAUGGCAGCCUACAGAGAGAGUGACAUCGAGCGGCUGUGGAUUUGUGGAAGGAACAGAGAACGGCAGAGCCGCCGUGUACACCCACUUCAGCACAGCUUCAGCUGAGCCGGGCAUCAGAAGAUGUCUCCUUUUAUGUCGGAAUGUAGACUGUUGCUGCCAUUUUUUGCCAUUUCUUUAAAUAGGGGUGCACGGUAUGGACGAUAUAAAAAAAUGUGAUGUGAAAUGGUACUGUUGGAUAUCCUGUUAUCGAUGGAUGUGAAACAAGGUUGGGUUGGCACUUGGCUUGGCUACACUCGUUCACUACUGUUUUUCCAGGCUAAGAAGAAGUUUGGUGAUUGUGUUCACUGUGGAGCUGUGUUCACA